UCUCCAUCACUAAGUAAUCUAUAACAUCACUCGUGUGACACCUGCAUACAGCUAAAACCAAUCUACAAAAUAGGUAUGCUGCACACCCAGGCACCCAGCACUAAAGAAGAAUUGAUUGCACAAUACCAGAAGUUUUCAGGGCACUUAGCGAGUUCUGUGGGAAGACUCCCAUAUAUAUGGACCCAUCAGUUCUCCCUGUCAUACAUUGUUGCAGACAUAUACCCUUUGCAGUGACAGACAGACUCAGAGAUGCACUCAGGAACUACAUGAAGAAGCAGACUGAGCCAAUGGUAUAGACUGAGCUCUAGGUGGUUAACUUAACAACCUCUGACCUACACAGCUAACGGUUAAACAGCAAGUAGUCAGCAGUGCUGUAAUAUACUCUUCUAAUGCCUCUGGCCUGGUUUCGAGGCCCUUGUUUGAGAGGUUAAAAUAUGUCCCAAAAAAUAAAGUAAGAAUAAAAUAA